rnacentral:rRNA from 1 species
GACGUACGCUGGCGGCGUGCCUAAUUCAUGCAAGUCGAGCGGACAGAAGGGAGCUUGCUCCCGGAAGUUAGCGGCGGACGGGUGAGUAACACGUGGGCAACCUACCCUGUAGAUCGGGAUAACAUCGAGAAAUCGGUGCUAAUACCGGAUAAUCAUUUGAAGUGCAUGCUUCGAAUGUAAAAGAUGGCUCCGGCUAUCACUAAGGGAUGGGCCCGCGGCGCAUUAGCUAGCUGGUAAGGUAAUGGCUUACCAAGGCACCGAUGCGUAGCCGACCUGGGAGGGUGAUCGGCCACACCGGGACCGAGACACGGGCCAGAAUCCUACGGGAGGCAGCAGUAGGUAAUCUUCCGCAAUGGACGAGAGUCUGACGGAGCAACGCCGCGUGAGUGAUGAAGGUUUUCGGAUCGUAAAGCUCUGUUGUUAGGGAAGAACAAGUGCCGUUUGAAUAAGGCGGCACCUUGACGGUACCUAACCAGAAAGCCACGGCUAACUACGUGCCAGCCGCCGCAGUAACAC